rnacentral:lncRNA from 1 species
UUUAUAAAGUUGUUUGAAGCGUCUAUGAUAAACAGAGAGCAAAUUAGAAUCCAAGGAAGUUGACAUGUCAUCACUUCAUUUUUUUGCGCCUGCGCAUAAAUCUGAGAAACGUGAGUUUUGUCUUCAUUGUUUAUCUCGACAUAGGAUAGGUUGUGUGAAAAUAUUACUGAUGUUUAACGUUAAAAAUGGACCAAAAGAUUAAUGCUAAACAACAUUUGACAUGUUUGAAUGAACAUAAAUAGAUUAUUUACUAGGUUUUUUUAGCUUUUCGGCGUGAUUUUACAGUCCCCCACCACGUUUUGUGGGAGCAUAAUGAACGCUAAGUACUUGGUGUUAUUUGGACAUAAAUUAUGAACUUUGUCAAAAGAAACCACAUUUGUUCCGGACCUGUGAUGCCUUCCGGACCUGGGAUGCCAGUCUUCUGAUGGAGAUAAUCAAAGAUCUCUUGAUCCAUCCUCUGGCUGCAUUUUAAGUACAUAGGUUCCACAAGGUAGGGGUGUACCCCCUGCUACUCCUCAGUAAGAGCAAGAAGGAAACGUUUUGUCGUCAACUGCAGUGUCCUCACAGUGGUAUGAUGAAUCAGACCUCAAUGGCAGCAAUCCAAAGGUUGUUGGUGGCAAUUGUGAAAGGUAUUUGGACAGAAAUAUGUAUGCAUGUCUUCCUUAAGACCCUAUCCUUCAACCACCACAUCCGUCAGACUGUAAAAAAAACAAAUGAUUCAACUUACGCAAAUUCGCCAAAGUCAGCCUCUCCUGUCCUGCUGGCCGAAACUCUCAUCCAUGCUUUCAUCUUCUCCCGAAUAGACUAUUUCAACUCACUACUCCCUGGCACUAACACAAACUCCCUCUAUAAGCUCAAUGGUUCAAAACUCAGCAGCCCAUCUUCUAACCCACACUAAAUCCUGGCAGAAUAUUACCCCCAUCCUCUGUGGGCUCACUUCAACCAGGUUGAACCCCCAAUAAUCCCUACCACCCAGGAGACCAGCUACACCCCCAUUCUCAACCAGGUUGAACCCCCGAUAUCCCCCACCGCCCAGGAGACCAGCUACACCCGGAUCCCCAACCAGGUUGAACCCCCGAAAACCCCCACCGCCCAGGAGACCAGCUACACCCAAACCGAACCAAAGAAGACGGGAAGAAAGUCCUGUCACCCUCAAAAAACCAUCUAACCCGCUGAGCAUGACAGUCAACCCCCAACCAAGGAAGUAGAAAUAUGACUACAUGCAAAAAGUGUCCAGUGCAUCCGGAGCAAAUGAUUUUCCCUAUUCUCAAAAUUCUUGCCAAUAGAACUUCAAAGGAGGGUCAGGAGCAGAAAGUGAAGUGGAAGCCGUGCUCUGGAUGAAGAUGAGUAUACACGUUCCCGCUGCGUUUUGGUCUGAUCCUUACGACACCCGUUACAGAACUACCCACCACCAAAGGACCAAGCAGCGGAGAAAGGAGCAGCAGGUGGACUACAGGGAGUCGUGGACAUGGGAGGAAAUUCUGGACGGGGAUGGACCAUGGCACCAGGCUGGUGAACACCGUCGCCCACCGGAACAGGUGGAGGCAGCCAGGAGAGCGGAGAUACGAGAGGCUGAAGAGGACCGGGAACGCUACAGGGGAACACGGCUGGCAAGGAAGCCGGAGAGGCAGCCCCAAGACAUUUUUUGGGGGGGGGCACACGGGGAGUGUGGCUAAGUCAGGUCGUAGACCUAAGCCAAUUCCCUGUGCUUAUUAUGGGGGGCGUAUGGAGUGGAGAGCGCCGGAGUAUGCGGAAGUGCGCACGAUCUCGCCCAUGCGCACGCACAGUCCGGUGUGAGCGAUCCCAGCCCCUCGCAAGUGCCGUGCUAGAGUAGGCAUCCAGCCUGGAAGGAGGAUGCCUGCGCAGCACAUCUGGCCACCAGUGCGCCUCCUAGGCCCAGGCUACCCUACGCCUGCUCUAUGCACGGCAACCAUCAGGCCUCUGCACA